GAUGAACGCUGGCGGCGUGCCUAAUACAUGCAAGUCGAGCGAACAGACGAGGAGCUUGCUCCUCUGACGUUAGCGUCGGACGGGUGAGUAACACGUGGAUAACCUACCUAUAAGACUGGGAUAACUUCGGGAAACCGGAGCUAAUACCGGAUAAUAUAUUUAACCGCAUGGUUCAAUAGUGAAAGACGGUUUUGCUGUCACUUAUAGAUGGAUCCGCGCCGCAUUAGCUAGUUGGUAAGGUAACGGCUUACCAAGGCAACGAUGCGUAGCCGACCUGAGAGGGUGAUCGGCCACACUGGAACUGAGAAACGGUCCAGACUCCGACGGGAGGCAGCAGUAGGGAAUCUUCCGAAAUGGGCGAAAGCCUGACGGAGCAACGCCGCGUGAGUGAUGAAGGUCUUCGGAUCGUAAAACUCUGUUAUUAGGGAAGAACAAAUGUGUAAGUAACUAUGCACGUCUUGACGGUACCUAAUCAGAAAGCCACGGCUAACUACGUG
rnacentral:rRNA from 1 species